rnacentral:rRNA from 1 species
UACAGAGGUCUCAAGCGUUGUUCGGAUUCAUUGGGCGUAAAGCGCGUGUAGGCGGCCCGGUAAGUCCGCUGUGAAAGUCGGGGGCUCAACCCUCGGAUGCCGGUGGAUACUGUCGGGCUUGAGUACGGAAGAGGCGAGUGGAAUUCCUGGUGUAGCGGUGAAAUGCGCAGAUAUCAGGAGGAACACCUAUUGCGAAGGCAGCUCGCUGGGACGUGACUGACGCUGAGACGCGAAAGCGUGGGGAGCAAACAGG